AUUGAACGCUGGCGGCAGGCCUAACACAUGCAAGUCGAGCGAGCGGCGGACGGGUGAGUAUGUAUGGGGAUCUGCCCGAUAGAGGGGGAUAACUACUGGAAACGUUGGCUAAUACCGCAUACUAUCGGAUUAACCCGUAUGGGAUUAGCUAGUAGGUGGGGUAAAGGCUCACCAAGGCGACGAUCCCUAGCUGGUCUGAGAGGAUGAUCAGCCACACGGGGAAUGAGACACGGCCCAGACUCCUACGGGAGGCAGCAGUGGGGAAUAUUGGACAACGGGCGCAAGCCUGAUGCAGCCAUGCCGCGGGUAUGAAGAAGGCCUUAGGGUUGUAAAGUUCUUUCGGUAGCGAGGCGUUAACUACAGAAGAAGCACCGGCUAACUCCGUGCCAGCAGCCGCGGUAAUAC
rnacentral:rRNA from 1 species